GCCAGAAUCGUCGUCCCACUUUACGUGUAGAAACACAGUCUUGCAGCAUCUCGAGUUUGACCAACAUGGCGACCACAGCCGGAUCUCAUCUGAAACAAAUGGAGGGAGAGGGUGGACAGGAUUCUCCCCGUACCCACAAGUGCAGCUAUUGUGAGAAGGAGUUUCCCUUCAAAAGUAGCCUAAAUCAACACCUGCGAACUCACACAGGUGAGAGACCAUACCAGCGUGAUGAUUGCGGGAAAUGGUUUAUUAAGCUAUGUAAUCUGAAAGACCACAUGAGAACUCACACCGGUGAGAGACCGUACGAGUGUGAAUAUUGCAACAAGUGCUUCAGUCAGUCAUCCCAUCU